AACGAACGCUGGCGGCAUGCCUAACACAUGCAAGUCGAACGAGACCUUCGGGUCUAGUGGCGCACGGGUGCGUAACGCGUGGGAACCUGCACUUAGGUUCGGAAUAACUCCCCGAAAGGGGUGCUAAUACCGGAUAAUGUCUUCGGCCCAAAGAUUUAUCGCCUUUGGAUGGGCCCGCGUUGGAUUAGGUAGUUGGUAGGGUAAAAGCCUACCAAGGCGACGAUCCAUAGCUGGUUUGAGAGGAUGAUCAGCCACACUGGGACUGAGACACGGCCCAGACUCCUACGGGAGGCAGCAGUGGGUAAUAUUGGACAGUGGGCGAAAGCCUGAUCCAGCAAUGCCGCGUGAGUGAUGAAGGCCUUAGAGUUGUAAAGCUCUUUUACCCGGGAUGAUAAUGACAGUACCGGGAGAAUAAGCUCCGGCUAACUCCGUG
rnacentral:rRNA from 1 species